rnacentral:rRNA from 1 species
UGAGGAAUAUUGGGCAAUGCCCGCAAGGGUGACCCAGCAACGCCGCGUGGAGGAUGAAUGUCGUAAGAUUGUAAACUCCUGUUAGAGGGGAAGAAUAGUACCGGUUGGACCGGUAUAUGACUGUACCCUCAAAGAAAGCCCCGGCUAACUACGUGCCAGCAGCCGCGGUAAUACGUAGGGGGCAAGCGUUGUCCGGAUUUACUGGGUGUAAAGGGCGCGCAGGCGGGAUAAAAAGUCAGUGGUGAAAUCCUACAGCUUAACUGUAGAACUGCCUUUGAUACUUUUAUUCUUGAGUUCGGGAGAGAGAGACGGAAUUCCAGGUGUAGUGGUGAAAUACGUAGAUAUCUGGAAGAACACCAGUUGCGAAGGCGGUCUCUUGGUCCGACACUGACGCUGAGGCGCGAAAGCGUGGGGAGCAAACA